rnacentral:rRNA from 1 species
ACUCAAAUGAAUAGACGGGGGCCCGCACAAGCGGUGGAGUAUGUGGUUUAAUUCGACGCAACGCGAAGAACCUUACCCGGGUUAGAACCCCUCGGAAGUCUGCAGAGAUGUGGAUGUGCCCUUCGGGGAACCGAGUGUCCAGGUGCUGCAUGGCUGUCGUCAGCUCGUGUCGUGAGAUGUUGGGUUAAGUCCCGCAACGAGCGCAACCCUUGUCGUUAGUUGCCAGCGAUUAAGUCGGGCACUCUAACGAGACUGCCGGUGUUAAACCGGAGGAAGGUGGGGAUGACGUCAAGUCCUCAUGGCCCUUAUGCCCGGGGCUACACACGUACUACAAUGGCCGGUACAAAGAGCUGCAAGCGCGCGAGCGCAAGCCAACCUCAAAAAACCGGUCUCAGUUCGGAUUGGAGUCUGCAACUCGACUCCAUGAAGUCGGAAUCGCUAGUAAUCCCUGAUCAGCAGGCAGGGGUGAAUACGUUCCCGGGCCUUGUACACACCGCCCGU